UAGCGGGAAAAAAUAGAGAUUGGAAAUUUUGGAGGAACCCCCAGUGGCGGGAGGGCGGCUUUUCUGUUCUGUAAUAUGACCGUUAAGGCGGGAAAGCGUGGGGAGCAAACAGGCAUUAGAUACCCUGGUAGUUCACCCCGUAAACGAUGAGUGUUAAGUGUUAGAGGGGUUAAACCCUUUAGUGCUGUAGCUAACGCGUUAAGCACUCCGCCUGGGGAGUACGGCCGCAAGGAUGAAACUCAAAGGAAUUGACGGGGGCCCGCACAAGCGGUGGAGCAUGUGGUUUAAUUAGAAGCAACGCGAAGAACCUUACCAGGUCUUGACAUCCCCUGACAACCCUGGAGACAGGGGGUUCCCCCUUCGGGGGGACAGGGUGACAGGUGGUGCAUGGUUGUCGUCAGCUCGUGUCGUGAGAUGUUGGGUUAAGUCCCGCAACGAGCGCAACCCUCGCCCCUAGUUGCCAGCAUUCAGUUGGGCACUCUAGGGGGACUGCCGGUUAAAAGUCGGAGGAAGGUGGGGAUGACGUCAAAUCAUCAUGCCCCUUAUGACCUGGGCUACACACGUGCUACAAUGGGCGGUACAAAGGGCUGCGAACCCGCGAGGGGGAGCGAAUCCCAAAAAGCCGCUCUCAGUUCGGAUUGCAGGCUGCAACUUGCCUGCAUGAAGCCGGAAUCGCU
rnacentral:rRNA from 1 species